rnacentral:rRNA from 1 species
UUCCGGUUGAUCCUGCCGGACCUGACUGCUAUCGGAUUGAUACUAAGCCAUGCGAGUCUUUGUAGUAAUACAAGGCAUACGGCUCAGUAACGCGUAGUCAACCUACCCUAUGGACAAGAAUAAUCUCGGGAAACUGAGCAUAAUUCUUGAUAGAUCAUAAUGCCUGGAAUGGUUUAUGGUUAAAAUGAUUCGUCGCCAUAGGAUGGGACUGCGGCCUAUCAGCUUGUUGGUGAGGUAAUGGCCCACCAAGGCGAUAACAGGUACGGGCUCUGAGAGGAGAAGCCCGGAGAUGGGUACUGAGACAAGGACCCAGGCCCUAUGGGGCGCAGCAGGCGAGAAAACUUUGCAAUGUGCGAAAGCACGACAAGGUUAGUCCGAGUGAUUUCUGCUAAAGAGAUCUUUUGCUAGUUAUAAAACCACUAGUGAAUAAGGGGUGGGCAAGUUCUGGUGUCAGCCGCCGCGGUAAAACCAGCACCUCAAGUGGUCAGGAUGAUUAUUGGGCCUAAAGCAUCCGUAGCCGGCUCUGUAAGUUUUCGGUUAAAUCUAUACGCUUAACGUAUGGGCUGCCGAAAAUACUGUAGAGAUAGGGAGUGGGAGAGGUAGACGGUACUCGGUAGGAAGGGGUAAAAUCCUUUGAUCUAUCGAUGACCACCUGUGGCGAAGGCGGUCUACCAGAACACGUUCGACGGUGAGGGAUGAAAGCUGGGGGAGCAAACCGGAUUAGAUACCCGGGUAGUCCCAGCUGUAAACGAUGCAGACUCGAUGAUGCAUUGGCAUAUAGCCAGUGCAGUGUCGCAGGGAAGCCGUUAAGUCUGCCGCCUGGGAAGUACGUACGCAAGUAUGAAACUUAAAGGAAUUGGCGGGGGAGCACCACAAGGGGUGAAGCCUGCGGUUCAAUUGGAUUCAACGCCGGG